AUGAUUGAUUUACCCACCGUCCACUUCUUACGAAGCAGCAGAUGGUUAAUAAUGGGGUUUACAUUCUAUGGACAUACAUGGUGGGAAUAAGACAUAGCACUCUUUCGAGCGCUACAGUUGGUGCACAGGUGUGGGGUCGAAAGGCAGACAAAGCGUGCACGAUGCUACCCAGUGGUUAGCCAGCACAGCUCCAUCCACCCCUCUAAAGGUGAAUCGAUAAUGAUCCUUCCGCAGGUUCACCUACGGAAA
rnacentral:misc_RNA from 1 species